rnacentral:misc_RNA from 1 species
CUAUACAACCUACUACCUCUCU